rnacentral:lncRNA from 1 species
UGAAUAUCUACAUACUACAUGGGAUUAAAAAGGGCUCUGAAUGUCCUGAUAUCGAUUCAGGUCAGUUUUGUUUUCAAAUGAGUUUCGACAUUAAAUGCAGGGAAACUUGUUUUCAGGGCUCUUUGAAUUUUGGAAUUGCAGAAAGGAGUGGAUAGCUGAUACUAUUGAAUGGUGACAGAUGUUGCAGAGAAGGCAAGAAGAGACACUGGAGAAGUAAGAAUCGUCAAAUUCAAGCAAAGUAUCUACAUUAAGAAAUUUGACAUGAUUCUGAAGGCCAUGAGGAGCCACUGAAAUGCUUAUGCUAAAGAACAAACUCUAUAUCACAGUUUGCAUUUGAUUUAUCUUUCUGGUUGCAUUACAAAUAAUGGGUUUGAAAGGGGCAAAACAGAAGACAAGAAACUCAAAUGUAUUUGGGAGGAAUAACCUAGGUGAGAGAUCAGUGGCAUAAAUUAUGGUAGUGGGCAAAAUUGGAAGGAUUCUAGAAAUUUUAAUUGCAGAAUCUAUCAGGACUGAUGGUUUGUUGUUUACAUAAAGGGUAAGAGGAAGAGGUGAGGUCUAU